rnacentral:rRNA from 1 species
UACGUAGGGUGCAAGCGUUGUCCGGAAUUAUUGGGCGUAAAGAGCGUGUAGGCGGCCCGAUUAGUCCGCUGUGAAAGUCCAGGGCUCAACCCUGGAAUGCCGGUGGAUACUGUCGGGCUAGAGUCCGGAAGAGGCGAGUGGAAUUCCUGGUGUAGCGGUGAAAUGCGCAGAUAUCAGGAAGAACACCCGUGGCGAAGGCGGCUCUCUGGGACGGUACUGACGCUGAGACGCGAAAGCGUGGGGAGCGAACAGG